rnacentral:rRNA from 1 species
UAGGGAAUUUUGUCCAAUGGGCGGAAGCCUGAGACAGCAACGCCGCGUGUGGGAUGAAGGCCCUCGGGUCGUAAACCACUGUCGGAGGGGAAGAACAACCCGGCGGGGAAUAUUCGCCGGGCCUGACGGUACCCUCAAAGGAAGCACCGGCUAACUCCGUGCCAGCAGCCGCGGUAAUACGGAGGGUGCAAGCGUUGUUCGGAAUUACUGGGCGUAAAGCGCGUGUAGGCGGUCGAGCAAGUCGAAUGUGAAAUCCCUGGGCUCAACCCGGGAAUUGCAUCCGAAACUGCUCGGCUAGAGUCCCGGAGAGGAAGGCAGAAUUCCCAGUGUAGGGGUGAAAUCCGUAGAUAUUGGGAGGAAUACCAGUGGCGAAGGCGGCCUUCUGGACGGUGACUGACGCUGAGACGCGAAAGCGUGGGGAGCAAACAGGAUUAGAUACCCCCGUAGUCC